CUUCUUGAUUUAAUAUGAAGUCGUACCUGCCCAAUGAGGUUUUUAAUGGCCGCGGUAUAUUGACCGUGCAAAGGUAGCAUAAUCAUUAGUCUUUUAAUUGAAGGCUGGAAUGAAUGGUUUGACGAAAUAAUUACUGUCUCGUGAUGAUGACUUGAAUUUUACUUUUGAGUCAAAAGGCUCAAAUGAUAAUAGGGGACGAGAAGACCCUAUAGAUCUUGAUAAUAUGCAUUAAAUUUUUUGUUUAGAUUGUAUUUGAUUAUUUUUAAUGUAUUGUAUUUGGUUGGGGUGACAAGGGAAUAUGAUAACUUCUUAUUAUUUAACUAUGAUGAUUGGUUAAUUGAACCUAUAUUAUGGAAUAAAGAUGAAGAUACCUUAGGGAUAACAGCGUAAUGUUAUUGGAGAGUUCUUAUUGAUAAUAAAGAUUGCGACCUCGAUGUUGGAUUAAGAAAAUUAUUAGGUGCAGAAGCUUAAUUUAUUGGUCUGUUCGACCAUUAAAUUCUUACGUGAUCUGAGUU
rnacentral:rRNA from 1 species